rnacentral:rRNA from 1 species
GACGAACGCUGGCGGCGUGCUUAACACAUGCAAGUCGAACGGAAAGGCGCUGCUCUUGUUGGUCGCUCGAGUGGCGAACGGGUGAGUAACACGCGAGUAACCUGCCCCUGACUUUCGGAUAACUCCAGGAAACUGGGGCUAAUACCCGAUAGGAUCUCCUGCUGCAUGGUGGGGGUUGGAAAGUUUCGGCCGUUGGGGAUGGACUCGCUGCUUAUCCGCUUGUUGGGGGGGUAGUGGCUUACCAAGGCUUUGACGGGUAGCCGGCCUGAGAGGGUGACCGGCCACAUUGGGACUAAGGUACGGCCCAGACUCCUACGGGAGGCAGCAGUGGGGAAUAUUGCACAAUGGGCGGAAGCCUGAGGCAGAAACGCCGCGUGCGGGAUGACGGCCUUCGGGUUGUAAACCGCUUUCGCCUGUGACGAAGCGUGAGUGACGGUAAUGGGUAAAGAAGCACCGGCUAACUACGUG